rnacentral:misc_RNA from 1 species
CGGUGUCGAUGUCGUAGUCGAGGUCCCCGCCCUGCCCGACCCACCGCCGCUGCUCCUUGCCGGCGGCGAGGUCGAAGCACGCCUCGCAGCCGUGGUGGUGGCUGUGGCUCCCCGGGCGGCGGCGGGCGCUGUCCACGAGGCACGAGUAGUUCUUGCACGCGUAGGGCGCCCACGAGACGGACUUGUCCGGCGGGACCACCCACAGGCUCUCCGGGAACGGCGUCGGGUCCGGGAACCCGGCUGGCCCGCGCGCGCGGCACCGGCGCCUCGGCAGCGGCUCGCAUCCCCUGAGCAUCAGACGCUCCGCGAGCGCCGCGUCGGGCGGGCAGUCGCCGGUCACGUUGUACCGCAUGUACUUGUUGAGCUCGUCGCGGUGGCGGUGGCACGCCGCGCCGAUCGCCGGAUACAGCUUGUCGGAGUCGAGGUUCGGGGUGUAGCCGAACGGGAGCGUGUGCGGGCCGAGCGCGACCGUGAGCUCCUCGUCCGGCGUCAGCUUCGGCGGCAGCGCGUCCCGCUUCAUCUUUCCGGAGUUGGAGAUGAGCCUCUUGAUGAUCGCGUCGGUGGCCUCGACGCGAUUGUGGAGGUCGACGGCGAGGCUCUGGCUGGAGGAGAGGACGCUGAACGCGAAGUCGAGUGCGGAGUCGCCGCCGCUGCCACCGGUCCCAAGGCCGGUGACGCGCGAGAAGGUGACGGACAGGAGGAUGGAGAUGGAGUUUGUGACGACGAAGAGGAGGAGGGUCUUGGUGCGGCCGGAGUGGUGCCUCUUCUUCGCGGUGGCAUGGUGAGGCGCCGGCGGUGCAUGGGUGGCGCUGCUGCUGGUUGCGCCGGCGGCGGGGGCGUCCAUGUCCAUCAGAGACUGGUGAUGGGUAUUUGGCUUUCUUGGAUAGCCUUCCAUGAUGCCCAUCUGCAGUUCAUGC